CCUUGAAAAGAAGUCAGCAGCCGCACUCUUUCAUCUUCCCCAAUUGGAAAUCCGGCGGUGAAACAUGAGCGUUGCUCCCCUCCCUCGAUUUCUUUACUUCUGAUUAGCCCUACCCUCGUCUCUCUCUUCGUGUCUCAUUCAUCGGCGGAGCAAUAGAACAACAAGGGAACGGCGGUGGCGGUCAGUUUGGUGUAGCGAAGCUUCCUCCUCUGGCGGUGAUCUCUGGCUCCGACCUCUGUUUUCCGGCGAGGCAAAACAGUGGCGGUGGUGCUACAUAGGUUCUGUUGAAGUGACUAACUUAUAAGUUGAGCCUAGAUUGGGUGUUGGCUUUGAGAGCUUAGCUUGAGGUAAGUUCUUAUGUCCGUUUAAAUUACUUUGCCCUAUUAAAUGUGCUACUUAUUUGAGUUGUGUACUUACAUUAUUUUAAAAAUGUGUUCUAGUUUCAAAAUGUGAUAAAUAGUAAAAUAUGGUUAUUUUGGGGUU